rnacentral:rRNA from 1 species
GAAUUCGGCUUCGGAGAGGGAGCAUGAGAAAUGGCUACCACAUCCAAGGAAGGCAGCAGGUGCGCAAAUUACCCAAUCUUGAUUCGGUGAGGUAGUGACAAGAAAUAUCAAUAUAGGGCUUACAGUUUUAUACUUGGAAUGAGUGGUAUUUAAAUUGCUCCGCGAGUAUCAAUUGGAGGGCAAGUCUGGUGCCAGCAGCCGCGGUAAUUCCAGCUCCAAUAGCACAUAUUAGAGUUGUUGCGGUUAAAAAGCUCGUAGUCGGAUCUCUGCCAAGCUCGACUGGUCCGCCUCUUGAGGCGGCACCGUGUCAGGCUCUGGCAUAAUCCCGUCAUCGCUCCUUUCGCUUGAAUGCGUGAGGUAGCGUCCGGGACAAUUACUUUGAGGAAAUUAGAGUGUUUCAAGCAAGCACAAGCAUUGAAUAUACUAGCAUGGAAUAAUAAUGUGAGACCCGAGCUCUCCUUGUUGGUUUUGGAGCUUGGGUACUGAUUGAUAGGGGCAGUCGCGGGCACUCGUAUUUAGCUGUUAGAGGUGAAAUUCUUGGAUUUGUUAAGGACGAACAGGUGCGAAAGCAUUUGUCAAGGAUGUUUUCAUUGAUCAAGAACUAAAGUUAGGUGAUCGAAGACGAUCAGAUACCGUCCUAGUCCUAACCAUAAACGAUGCCAACUAGAUAUUGGAGGCUGUCAUUUUCAAGGCUCCUUCGGUAUCUCAUGAGAGAUCAAAGUUUUUGGGUUCCGGGGGGAGUAUAGUCGCAAGGCCGAAACUUAAAGGAAUUGACGGAAGGGCACCACCAGGAGUGGAGCCUGCGGCUUAAUUUGACUCAACACGGGAAAACUCACCAGGUCCAGACAUAGAGAGGAUUGACAGACUAAAAGCUCUUUCUUGAUUCUAUGGGUGGUGGUGCAUGGCCGUUCUUAGUUGGUGGAGUGAUUUGUCAGGUUAAUUCCGUUAACGAACGAGACCUCAUCUUGCUAAAUAAUGAGUCACAAUUUCGAUUGUGAUAAUCGUUUCUUAGAGGGACUUUGCGUGCUCUAGCGCAAGGAAGUGUGAGGCAAUAACAGGUCUGUGAUGCCCUUAGAUGUUCUGGGCUGCACGCGCGCUACACUGAUACGAUCAUCGAGUUCCCACCUUUUCCGGAAGGAUCGGGCAACCUUAAAAAUUGCAUCGUGAUGGGGAUCGAUUUUUGUAAUUAUAAAUCUUCAACGAGGAACUCCUAGUAAGCGCGAGUCAUCAGCUCGUGCUGAUUGCGUCCCUGCUCUUUGUACACACCGCCCAAGCCGAAUUC